GAUGAACGCUGGCGGCGUGCUUUACACAUGCAAGUCGAACGGAAAGGCCCAAGCUUGCUUGGGUACUCGAGUGGCGAACGGGUGAGUAACACGUGGGUGAUCUGCCCUGCACUUCGGGAUAAGCCUUGGAAACUGGGUCUAAUACCGGAUAGGACCACAUUUUGGAUGGUGUGGUGGAAAGUUUUUCGGUGUGGGAUGAGCUCGCGGCCUAUCAGCUUGUUGGUGGGGUAAUGGCCUACCAAGGCGUCGACGGGUAGCCGGCCUGAGAGGGUGUACGGCCACAUUGGGACUGAGAUACGGCCCAGACUCCUACGGGAGGCAGCAGUGGGGAAUAUUGCACAAUGGGCGCAAGCCUGAUGCAGCGACGCCGCGUGGGGGAUGACGGCCUUCGGGUUGUAAACUCCUUUCGCUAGGGACGAAGCGCAAGUGACGGUACCUGGAGAAGAAGCACCGGCUAACUACGUG
rnacentral:rRNA from 1 species